ensembl:lncRNA
CCCCCAGGCUCUCCUCCUCCUUGCGGCGUUGGGAAGCCGGCAACUGCCGGCUCUGGUUGCGGAAGACCCGCUCACUGAACCGCCUCUCCAGUGCUCAGAUCAGGGCCUGAAGGUCUCGCUGGUCUGCUUGGUCCAGGUCGAGCAGCACCCGUGCUGCCGUCCCCUCCAAGGCCAGCGCAAGGUGGAUGACCGCCUCCUCGGCACCCCAGCAGUUGUGCCAAUCUGCAAGCCGGAACUGGGCCAGGUAUGGCUCCAGUGCCGUUGCCCCGGAGCACUCCGGGGCGGUAGGCAGCUGCUAGUUCUCCAGCCAUUCCGGUCUUGGCCAAAGGGGGGCGCUGCACUCCCAUAACGCAGGGUGCGUCGUUCUCCAUUGGCUCGACCGUCGGUCUCGAGUCCCUCCUCGCGUGCGGAGGCCACAUCCAAUCUAAUUUACAAAAGUAUUUUAUGUGGAAAAAAAUGACUUAUGCCUAUUGUUGGGGAAAAUAAACAUUCAUGUUUAUUGAGAUCGUAGUCAUGCUUAAUAUUUUUUAGGUUAGUUUGACAUCUUCAAGUUAUAAAAUCCUCCUAAUGGUUUCAUUUAAAUCUUUCUUCAGUGCUUCAGUGCAGGGUUCUGCAUAGCGUUCCUGCCUGAGAUCUAUUUAAGUUCAAUGUAGGUGUACUUCUUACAAGUAUACUUAACUGAUCUUCCUUAAAGGUUAUUUGCAAUUUCCGGUAAAGUGUAUGUGCAUCUUUGAUGCAACCGGCACGGUUUCGCACAGUGCGCCUGCCGUGGUUAUUACUUGUAUGAUACUCUGGUUUGUUAUGUUUCUGCUGUUUCACAUGUGCAUGCAGUGCGGAAAUAAGCAGUUUUCAUACGAAUACCUCUAAUCUAAUGCACAAAAGUAUUUUAUGUGCAAAAAAU